rnacentral:lncRNA from 1 species
UUUUUUUAAAGCUGCUGAAGUUUGUUGGUUUCUCAUUGUUUUUAAGCCUACUGGAGCAAUAAAGUUUGAAGAACUUUUACCAGGUUUUUUUUAUCGCUGCCUUGAUAUACACUUUUCAAAAUGCUUUGGUGGGAAGAAGUAGAGGACUGUUGAAAAUGGAUGAAGCUGGAAACCAUCAUUCUCAUCAGACUAACACAGGAACAGGAAAACAAACACCGCAUGUUCUCACUCAUAAGUGGGAGUUGAACAAUGAGAACACAUGGACACAGGGAGGAGAACAUCACACACUGGGGCCUGUUGGUGGGUGAGGGGCUAUGGGAGGGAUAGCAUUAGGAGAAAUACCUAAUGUAGAUGAUGAGUUGAUGGGUGCAGCAAGCCACCAUGGCAUGUGUAUACCUAUGUAACAAACCUGCAUGUUCUGCACAUGUAUCCCAGAAUUUAAAGUAUAAUAAAAAAAAAAUUGAGGUCUGCAACAGGCAAAGCCACUAAAGAAACUCAGAUAUUUUUCAUUGUAAUGUUGAAAAAGUUAUGAAAUUUCACUAAGCCCGUGUCUA